UACAGAGGUCUCAAGCGUUGUUCGGAUUCAUUGGGCGUAAAGGGUGCGUAGGCGGCGCGGUAAGUCGGGUGUGAAAUCUCGGGGCUUAACUCCGAAACUGCAUUCGAUACUGCCGUGCUUGAGGACUGGAGAGGAGACUGGAAUUUACGGUGUAGCGGUGAAAUGCGUAGAUAUCAGGAGGAACACCAAUGGCGAAGGCAGCUCGCUGGGACGUGACUGACGCUGAGACGCGAAAGCGUGGGGAGCAAACAGG
rnacentral:rRNA from 1 species